GAUGAACGCUGGCGGCGUGCUUAACACAUGCAAGUCGAACGGAAAGGCUCCUGCUUGCAGGGGUACUCGAGUGGCGAACGGGUGAGUAACACGUGGGUGAUCUGCCCUGCACUUCGGGAUAAGCCUGGGAAACUGGGUCUAAUACCGGAUAGGACGAUGGUUUGGAUGCCAUUGUGGAAAGUUUUUCGGUGUGGGAUGAGCUCGCGGCCUAUCAGCUUGUUGGUGGGGUAAUGGCCUACCAAGGCGUCGACGGGUAGCCGGCCUGAGAGGGUGUACGGCCAUUGUGGGAAUGAUAUCCGGCCGGGCCUCCUAGGGGAGCAAGGAGGGGGGAUUUGUGAACAAGGGGCGAGACCCGAAGACAGGGCCGCGGGGGGGGGGAGGACGGCUUUCGGUUUGUAACCCCUUUGCGCCGGGAAAGAACGGAAGAGGAGGAUCUGUAAUUGAGAGGCCCGGACAAGCAAGCUC
rnacentral:rRNA from 1 species